AGGACGAACGCUGGCGGCGUGCUUAACACAUGCAAGUCGAGCGGAAAGGCCCUUCGGGGUACUCGAGCGGCGAACGGGUGAGUAACACGUGAGCAACCUGCCCUUAGCUUCGGGAUAGCUCCGGGAAACCGGAAUUAAUACCGAAUAUGACUUUGGCUGACAUCAGCAGAAGUGGAAAGUUUUUCGGCUAGGGAUGGACUCGCGGCCUAUCAGCUAGUUGGUGAGGUAACGGCCCACCAAGGCGACGGCGGGUA
rnacentral:rRNA from 1 species